rnacentral:rRNA from 1 species
CCUACGGGGGGCAGCAGUGGGGAAUAUUGCACAAUGGGGGAAACCCUGAUGCAGCGACGCCGCGUGAGUGAAGAAGUAUUUCGGUAUGUAAAGCUCUAUCAGCAGGGAAGAAAAAAGACGGUACCUGACUAAGAAGCCCCGGCUAACUACGUGCCAGAAGCCGCGGUAAUACGUAGGGGGCAAGCGGUAUCCGGAUUUACUGGGUGUAAAGGGAGCGUAGACGGGGCGGCAAGUCUGGAGGGAAAGGCCGGGGCUUAACCCCUGAACUGCUUUGGAAACUGCCAUGCUAGAGUGCGGGAGAGGUAAGUGGAAUUCGUAGUGUAGCGGUGAAAUGCGUAGAUAGUAGGAGGAACACCAGUGGCGAAGGCGGCUUACUGGACAUUAACUGACGUUGAGGCUCGAAAGCGUGGGGAGCAAACAGGAUUAGAUACCCGAGUAGUC